AGUGAACGCUGGCGGUAGGCCUAACACAUGCAAGUCGAACGGCAGCACAGUAAGAGCUUGCUCUUACGGGUGGCGAGUGGCGGACGGGUGAGGAAUACAUCGGAAUCUGCUUUUUCGUGGGGGAUAACGUAGGGAAACUUACGCUAAUACCGCAUACGACCUACGGGUGAAAGCAGGGGAUCUUCGGACCUUGCGCGAUUGAAUGAGCCGAUGCCGGAUUAGCUAGUUGGCGGGGUAAAGGCCCACCAAGGCGACGAUCCGUAGCUGGUCUGAGAGGAUGAUCAGCCACACUGGAACUGAGACACGGUCCAGACUCCUACGGGAGGCAGCAGUGGGGAAUAUUGGACAAUGGGCGCAAGCCUGAUCCAGCUAUACCGCGUGGGUGAAGAAGGCCUUCGGGUUGUAAAGCCCUUUUGUUGGGAAAGAAAAGCAGCAGGUUAAUACCCCGCUGUUCUGACGGUACCCAAAGAAUAAGCACCGGCUAACUUCGUG
rnacentral:rRNA from 1 species